UUGAACGCUGGCGGCAGGCCUCACACAUGCAAGUGGAGCGGAUGAAGGGAGCUUGCUCCUGGAUUCAGCGGCGGACGGGUGAGUAAUGCCUAGGAAUCUGCCUGGUAGUGGGGGAUAACGUCCGGAAACGGGCGCUAAUACCGCAUACGUCCUGAGGGAGAAAGUGGGGGAUCUUCGGACCUCACGCUAUCAGGUGAGCCUAGGUCGGAUUAGCUAGUUGGUGGGGUAAAGGCCUACCAAGGCGACGAUCCGUAACUGGUCUGAGAGGAUGAUCAGUCACACUGGAACUGAGACACGGUCCAGACUCCUACGGGAGGCAGCAGUGGGGAAUAUUGGACAAUGGGCGAAAGCCUGAUCCAGCCAUGCCGCGUGUGUGAAGAAGGUCUUCGGAUUGUAAAGCACUUUAAGUUGGGAGGAAGGGCAGUAAGUUAAUACCUUGCUGUUUUGACGUUACCAACAGAAUAAGCACCGGCUAACUUCGUG
rnacentral:rRNA from 1 species